CCUACGGGAGGCAGCAGUGGGGAAUAUUGCGCAAUGGGGGAAACCCUGACGCAGCAACGCCGCGUGAAGGAAGAAGGCCUUCGGGUUGUAAACUUCUUUGAUUAGGGACGAAAAAAGACGGUACCUAAAAAACAAGCCACGGCUAACUACGUGCCAGCAGCCGCGGUAAUACGUAGGUGGCAAGCGUUGUCCGGAAUUACUGGGUGUAAAGGGCGUGUAGGCGGGAAUAUAAGUCAGAUGUGAAAUUCUGAAGCUCAACUUCAGAGCUGCAACUGAAACUAUAUUUCUUGAGUGAUGGAGAGGAAAGCGGAAUUCCUAGUGUAGCAGUGAAAUGCGUAGAUAUUAGGAGGAACACCAGUGGCGAAGGCGGCUUUCUGGACAUUAACUGACGCUGAGGCGCGAAAGCGUGGGGAGCAAACAGGAUUAGAUACCCUGGUAGUCCACGCUGUAAACGAUGGAUACUAGGUGUAGGAGGUAUCGACCCCUUCUGUGCCGCAGUUAACACAAUAAGUAUCCCCACCUACGGGUAGGUACGGCCGCGACGGUAGUAACGUACGAAAGUAGAAGUUAGACGGCGUGUAGACGUUGCGAACGGACGACGACGAGGGAGGAGG
rnacentral:rRNA from 1 species